rnacentral:rRNA from 1 species
UGGGGAAUAUUGGACAAUGGGGGCAACCCUGAUCCAGCCAUGCCGCGUGAGUGAUGAAGGCCUUAGGGUUGUAAAGCUCUUUCACCCGGGACGAUAAUGACGGUACCGGGAGAAGAAGCCCCGGCUAACUUCGUGCCAGCAGCCGCGGUAAUACGAAGGGGGCUAGCGUUGUUCGGAAUCACCGGGCGUAAAGCGCACGUAGGCGGACCGUUAAGUCGGAGGUGAAAUCCUGGGGCUCAACCCCAGAACUGCCUUCGAUACUGGCGGUCUCGAGUCCGGAAGAGGUGAGUGGAACUGCCAGUGUAGGGUGAAAUUCGUAGAUAUUGGCAAGAACACCAGUGGCGAAGGCGGCUCACUGGUCCGGUACUGACGCUGAGGUGCGAAAGCGUGGGGAGCAAAACAGGAUUAGAUACCCUGGUAGUCCACGCCGUAAACGAUGAAUGCCAGCCGUCGGGCAGCAUGCUGUUCGGUGGCGCAGCUAACGCUUUAAGCAUUCCGCCUGGGGAGUACGGUCGCAAGAUUAAAACUCAAAUGAAUUGACGGGGUCAUAGCUGUUUCCU